UGGCUCAGAUUAAACGCUGGCGGCAUGCCUUACACAUGCAAGUCGAACGGCAGCACGGGGGCAACCCUGGUGGCGAGUGGCGAACGGGUGAGUAAAGCAUCGGAACGUGCCCUGGAGUGGGGGAUAACGUAGCGAAAGUUACGCUAAUACCGCAUAUUCUGUGAGCAGGAAAGCAGGGGAUCGCAAGACCUUGCGCUUUGGGAGCGGCCGAUGUCGGAUUAGCUAGUUGGUGGGGUAAAGGCCUACCAAGGCGACGAUCCGUAGCGGGUCUGAGAGGAUGAUCCGCCACACUGGGACUGAGACACGGCCCAGACUCCUACGGGAGGCAGCAGUGGGGAAUUUUGGACAAUGGGCGCAAGCCUGAUCCAGCCAUGCCGCGUGAGUGAAGAAGGCCUUCGGGUUGUAAAGCUCUUUCGGUGGGGAAGAAAUUGCACGGGUUAAUAGCCUGUGUAGAUGACGGUACCUGGAGAAGAAGCACCGGCUAA
rnacentral:rRNA from 1 species